AUUUGCAGUGUGAGAAUUUCCCUCACAUUUAUCCAAUACCAAGCCAAAUCACUGGAAAAAUUUUGGAUGGGUCCACAAGAGCACAAAGUGCAUACUUUUUGAAGAAAAACAUCUUUCAGAUGUAUGAGAAAUUGAUUGGAGCCUGUCUGGAAAACGGCAGCCACUGGACCUUGUUUUUUUGUGACAUACCCAAGAGGACCAUAGUCUAUAUGAAUUCAUUUGGCGAGUCGGAGGUCAGAAAAAGUGCGGUGUUGAAAAACUGGAGCUCAUUUGCUUCAGCAAGAGGCUGCGCUGGAGAGUGGACCUUGUCACAUGUGAGCCACCCACAUCAACAGGAUGGGAACUCAUGUGGAGUGCAUGUCGUCAUGGUACUGAAA